AACGCAAGAUGUAAAACGGUUAAUUUAGAUAACCGUUCUCUAUCACUACACAGAACGCAUUUCUCUCUUAACCAUUUUAUGAGUAAAAGAACAUAGAACAACUAACUUACCUAACUGUUCUGUAUUGUUUUAACCCAUAAAAAAUAAUAUUCAAUUAAAAAAAUUAAGAAGCUGGAGAAGCGUGUUCUUUCCCAACAGUUGAGCAUAUUCCGCGCAUCUUACUCCAUCAAUCUACAAUUACUCCUCCCAGAAAAAAAGUUUAAAAAUAAACCCACCUAAAACCUAUCCCUACUUGUACGCUCACUUUUAACCACUUCCUUAUCACUUACCCUCGUAUACUUUGCGGAAAUUAUUUUUCUAAUUCAAUUCGUCAAUAUCGAUCGUCUACCUCUUUCAUUAGAAUCAUUAAUACUCUUUCUACUUUGAUUUGAGCUUUUAUGAAUCAAACUGAUGAUAAAGCUCUCCAAGAAUGAUCAAUUCUUCGUAUAUUAAAGAGGGCGCAAGCGAAAAUGAGGUUGGAUUAGUUGGAGAUUGAUAAAUUAAUGGAGCUGCAACAAAUUAAACGUGACUUUGUUUUCGAGCAUGAAAGAACGUGUAUGAAAGACACAAGUAAUACCAUAUUUAUGAGUAUGGAAGAAAUGAGUUACUGCCAGACUUUUACUUUGUUCUCCUUAUGAUAAGAAUGCUAAAUCUCUUGCAAAUAUUAGUUUACUUAUUAUAAUUAUACAUCUUUGGAAAAGAUUAUUUUAAUAUAUAACAAAUUGGAUUUCAUUGUAUUGACUUAUAAAAUUUUAUCCCACUGAAUAUAAUUUUUCAAACUUAGAAAA